GGUAUAAGAGACAGGUGAGUCAUCGAAUCUUUGAACGCACAUUGCGCCCCUUGGUAUUCCAUGGGGCAUGCCUGUUCGAGCGUCAUUUGUACCCUCAAGCUUUGCUUGGUGUUGGGUGUUUGUCCUCUCCCUCGCGUUUGGACUCGCCUUAAAACAAUUGGCAGCCAGUAUUUUGGUAAUGAAGCGCAGCACAUUUUGCGAUUCUAGCUAUGAUACUUGCGUCCAUAAGCCUUUUUUUAACUUUUGACCUCGGAUCAGGUAGGGAUACCCGCUGAACUUAAGCAUAUCAAUAAGCGGAGG
rnacentral:misc_RNA from 1 species